GGAAGUGAAAGUCGUAACAAGGUCCCCGUUGGUGAACCAGCGGAGGGAUCAUUACCGAGUCUUUCUACUCCCAAACCCCUGUGAACUUAUACCUUUACUGUUGCUUCGGCGGGUUAACGCCCCGGAAGGCCCAAAAAGCCGCCGGAACCAGGCGCCCGCCGGGGGACCCAAACUCUUGUAUUUCUUACUUUGCAUGUCUGAGUGGAAUCAUAAACAAAUGAAUCAAAACUUUCAACAACGGAUCUCUUGGUUCUG
rnacentral:misc_RNA from 1 species